UACGGAGGGGGCUAGCGUUGUUCGGAAUUACUGGGCGUAAAGCGCACGUAGGCGGCCUUGCAAGUCAGAGGUGAAAGCCCGGGGCUCAACCCCGGAAUUGCCUUUGAGACUGCAUCGCUAGAAUUGUGGAGAGGUAAGUGGAAUUCCGAGUGUAGAGGUGAAAUUCGUAGAUAUUCGGAAGAACACCAGUGGCGAAGGCGACUUACUGGACACAUAUUGACGCUGAGGUGCGAAAGCGUGGGGAGCAAACAGG
rnacentral:rRNA from 1 species